AUGUGUUUUAUGAAUUAAUAUAUUGAUGAUUUUUAAUUGUAUGAUUGUUAGUUGCAAACGUAGCACCGGAUACGUCAUCAAAGAAGGGAAAAGAGAAAGUGAACGAAGAUAUCGAUUAAAUUCGAUAAAUAGUGGCUAGGUACGAAAGUAUAAGGACUCAGCAUACAAGCCGAUCCCCAAACUCAAAUUGGCUAGGUACGAAAGUAUAAGGACUCAGCAUACAAGCCGAUCCCCAAACUCAAAUUGGUGAAGUUUCUAUCUUUUUGGAAAAUGGCAUUGUACGUAGGAUGUCUUUUGGUCAUUUUGAAAGUAUCUAAGUUGUUAAGUGAUAUUUUGGUAUGUUUUGUAAAUGUUACCAAAACCUUAAGUAUGGUAUGUUUUGAUAUGUUAGUGAAGAGUAAUAAGAGGAAGUGUUGGUAAAUA